rnacentral:rRNA from 1 species
UCGAGCGGACCGACGGGAGCUUGCUCCCUUAGGUCAGCGGCGGAUGUGGUGAGUAACACGUGGGUAACCUGCCUGUAAGACUGGGAUAACUCCGGGAAACCGGGGCUAAUACCGGAUGCUUGAUUGAACCGCAUGGUUCAAUCAUAAAAGGUGGCUUUUAGCUACCACUUACAGAUGGACCCGCGGCGCAUUAGCUAGUUGGUGAGGUAACGGCUCACCAAGGCGACGAUGCGUAGCCGACCUGAGAGGGUGAUCGGCCACACUGGGACUGAGACACGGCCCAGACUCCUACGGGAGGCAGCAGUAGGGAAUCUUCCGCAAUGGACGAAAGUCUGACGGAGCAACGCCGCGUGAGUGAUGAAGGUUUUCGGAUCGUAAAACUCUGUUGUUAGGGAAGAACAAGUACCGUUCGAAUAGGGCGGCACCUUGACGGUACCUAACCAGAAAGCCACGGCUAACUACGUGCCAGCAGCCGCGGUAAUACGUAGGUGGCAAGCGUUGUCCGGAAUUAUUGGGCGUAAAGCGCGCGCAGGCGGUUUCUUAAGUCUGAUGUGAAAGCCCCCGGCUCAACCGGGGAGGGUCAUUGGAAACUGGGGAACUUGAGUGCAGAAGAGGAGAGUGGAAUUCCACGUGUAGCGGUGAAAUGCGUAGAGAUGUGGAGGAACACCAGUGGCGAAGGCGACUCUCUGGUCUGUAACUGACGCUGAGGCGCGAAAGCGUGGGGAGCGAACAGGAUUAGAUACCCUGGUAGUCCACGCCGUAAACGAUGAGUGCUAAGUGUUAGAGGGUUUCCGCCCUUUAGUGCUGCAGCAAACGCAUUAAGCACUCCGCCUGGGGAGUACGGUCGCAAGACUGAAACUCAAAGGAAUUGACGGGGGCCCGCACAAGCGGUGGAGCAUGUGGUUUAAUUCGAAGCAACGCGAAGAACCUUACCAGGUCUUGACAUCCUCUGACAACCCUAGAGAUAGGGCUUCCCCUUCGGGGGCAGAGUGACAGGUGGUGCAUGGUUGUCGUCAGCUCGUGUCGUGAGAUGUUGGGUUAAGUCCCGCAACGAGCGCAACCCUUGAUCUUAUUUGCCAGCAUUCAGUUGGGCACUCUAAGGUGACUGCCGGUGACAAACCGGAGGAAGGUGGGGAUGACGUCAAAUCAUCAUGCCCCUUAUGACCUGGGCUACACACGUGCUAC